rnacentral:lncRNA from 1 species
GAGUCCAUCUCAUCCCUCAUGCAAUCAAUCCACUCUUUACUAUUUGGUGAAUUCACAGCCUCCUUAAAGGAGGUGGGUUCCUCAAUUUCUAAAAGAGUGCAUAAGAAAAUUUCUCCUUCGAUUUGAAAAUAUCGUCGAGAAAUUUUUCCACGUUCACUCUUUUGGAUUCGAGGACCUUCAUCACCUACCUGACUAGAUGAUGAAGACUAACCUCAUGUUCGAAGCUCAGAGCUUGAGGACGAACCCUAUUUUUUGGUGG